rnacentral:tRNA from 1 species
GAAGAGUAACUCAGUGGUAGAGCACUUGCCUGGCAUGCAUGAGGCCCUGGGUUCCAUUCCCAGCACUCA